rnacentral:sRNA from 1 species
AUAUAUAUAUCAUUUUUCUAUAAUUAGCAAAGACGAUGUAUUAAUUUACUCAAACUGCAUCUAGUUCUAGUAGCAGUGAAGGAGAAACUAUAACACACGUUUCAUUAUGCGGGUACACAUUCUGAUUUGCUGCUUUGUAGCGGUUCUCAUAAAGCAGCGAGUUGAUGGUCUAGAGGUCUGUGAUGUUCUACAAGUCAUUGAUUCUGUGGAAUGGAAUCUUGUCAAGCUGGUCAAAAGUGUGAAUGCUACCUUGAGCAAAUACCGAA